AUCUCAGAAUAGCUCAGAUGGUUUGAGCAUGGUGCUGAUAACGCCAAGAUUGCAGGUUCGAACCCCGUAUGGGACA